rnacentral:rRNA from 1 species
AUGAACGCUGGCGGCGUGCCUAAUACAUGCAAGUCGAGCGAACAGACGAGGAGCUUGCUCCUCUGACGUUAGCGGCGGACGGGUGAGUAACACGUGGAUAACCUACCUAUAAGACUGGGAUAACUUCGGGAAACCGGAGCUAAUACCGGAUAAUAUAUUGAACCGCAUGGUUCAAUAGUGAAAGACGGUUUUGCUGUCACUUAUAGGUGGAUCCGCGCCGCAUUAGCUAGUUGGUAAGGUAACGGCUUACCAAGGCAACGAUGCGUAGCCGACCUGAGAGGGUGAUCGGCCACACUGGAACUGAGACACGGUCCAGACUCCUACGGGAGGCAGCAGUAGGGAAUCUUCCGCAAUGGGCGAAAGCCUGACGGAGCAACGCCGCGUGAGUGAUGAAGGUCUUCGGAUCGUAAAACUCUGUUAUUAGGGAAGAACAAAUGUGUAAGUAACUAUGCACGUCUUGACGGUACCUAAUCAGAAAGCCACGGCUAACUACGU